UAUAAUAUUAAAUGACACUCUGGUCUCGGUUUAAUAAGUAAUAAUAAUAGAAUGUUUUUUCUAAUAGUAUUAGAUCAUUUGCAAAUCUUAUUAAAUCCAGGCCUAUUUUUUUUUCCUCUCUUUGUUUUUAAACUGCUAUAUUUCACAGAGAAUCAGCCUUCUAUUUUUCUAUGAAACAGUAGGGUUUCAACAUCACAGUUAUAGUGGAUCUGUGGGAACGAAAGGGUUAAGUGUAAUAGAAAUAUUGUCAAUAUCGCCAUUUAUACACCAGC